ensembl:lncRNA novel transcript
AGAUCUUUCCAUUCUCUGUUUUUAAUGCAACAUAACUUUUUGAAAGAAUGUGUAAAAUAGGUUGGAUUUUCUAUUUUACUAAAGCCUUACAGAAGCACCUCUGAGACUCAAUCAGUGAAACAAACCCAAGGCCACGCUCAGGUUCUCCAUCCUUCAAGCCUGAAACUGAGUUCACCAGCUAUGAAAGCUUAAGAGUGCAGCAGACAUUAUUGCUUUCACAAUGUGAACUUGCUAGGGACUUCAAUAGUAAGU